rnacentral:rRNA from 1 species
UACGAAGGGGGCUAGCGUUGCUCGGAAUCACUGGGCGUAAAGCGCACGUAGGCGGCUUUUAAGUCAGGGGUGAAAUCCUGGAGCUCAACUCCAGAACUGCCUUUGAUACUGAGAGCUUGAGUCCGGGAGAGGUGAGUGGAACUGCGAGUGUAGAGGUGAAAUUCGUAGAUAUUCGCAAGAACACCAGUGGCGAAGGCGGCUCACUGGCCCGGUACUGACGCUGAGGUGCGAAAGCGUGGGAGCAACAGGAU